rnacentral:rRNA from 1 species
UACGGAAGGCAGCAGUGGGGAAUAUUGCACAAUGGGCGAAAGCCUGAUGCAGCUAUGCCGUGUGUAUGAAGAAGGCCUUAGGGUUGUAAAGUACUUUCAUCGGGGAGGAAAAAACAAAACUAAUAAUUUUAUUUCUUGACGUUACCCGAAAAAGAAGCACCGGCUAACUCCGUGCCAGCAGCCGCGGUAAUACGGAGGGUGCUAGCGUUAAUCAGAAUUACUGGGCGUAAAGAGCACGUAGGUGGUUUUUUUAAGUCAGAUGUGAAAUCCCUGGGCUUAACCUAGGAACUGCAUUUUGAAACUGAAAUACUAGAGUAUCGUAGAGGGAGGUAGAAUUCUAGGUGUAGCGGUGAAAUGCGUAGAUAUCUGGAGGAAUACCUGUGGCGAAAGCGGCCUCCUAAACGAAUACUGACACUGAGGUGCGAAAGCGUGGGGAGCAAACAGGGAUUAGAUACC